GGACUUUUGGUGGAGGAACCAGACUGGAUGUCGGAGGUGAAGCCCGUCCCACCUUGAUGGUUCUGCCCCCUUCCAAUGAGGAGCUGCAGCAGGGGAAGGCCACGCUCGUGUGCCUGGCCAACAAGGGCUUCCCCUCAGACUGGAGUCUGGCCUGGAAGGUGGACGGCAUCAGCGGCGGCAGCUGGGAGGAGAGCAGGGGCCCUGCGGUGAUGGAGCAGGACGCUCGUUACAGCUGGAGCAGCACCCUGAGGCUCUCUGCAGGCCAGUGGAUGAAGGUGGGCUCUGUGACCUGUGAGGCCACCCAGGGCUCCCAGACGCUGGUCUCAGAGACACUGAGGAGGGACCAGUGUUCCCAGGACUGA